rnacentral:rRNA from 1 species
GAAAGCCUGAUCCAGCCAUGCCGCGUGUGUGAAGAAGGUCUUCGGAUUGUAAAGCACUUUAAGUUGGGAGGAAGGGCAUUAACCUAAUACCUUGCUGUUUUGACGUUACCGACAGAAUAAGCACCGGCUAACUUCGUGCCAGCAGCCGCGGUAAUAC